GACGAACGCUGGCGGCGUGCUUAACACAUGCAAGUCGAACGGUGACCUCGAGAGCUUGCUCUCGGGCGAUCAGUGGCGAACGGGUGAGUAACACGUGAGUAACCUGCCCCAGACUCUGGAAUAACCCCGGGAAACCGGAGCUAAUACCGGAUACGAGACGGAGUCGCAUGGCUACCGUCUGGAAAGUUUUUCGGUCUGGGAUGGACUCGCGGCCUAUCAGCUUGUUGGUGAGGUAACGGCUCACCAAGGCGACGACGGGUAGCCGGCCUGAGAGGGCGACCGGCCACACUGGGACUGAGACACGGCCCAGACUCCUACGGGAGGCAGCAGUGGGGAAUAUUGCACAAUGGGCGAAAGCCUGAUGCAGCGACGCCGCGUGAGGGAUGACGGCCUUCGGGUUGUAAACCUCUUUCAGCAGGGAAGAAGCGAAAGUGACGGUACCUGCAGAAGAAGCACCGGCUAACUACGUGCCAGCCGCCGCCGUAA
rnacentral:rRNA from 1 species